CCAAUGUGGAGUUCGAUCCCAGGACCUUGAUAUCAUGACCUGAGCCGAAGGCAGACACUUAACCAACUGAGCUACAGAUCUUGCAGAUCUUAGGAAAACUAAAAAAGACGGCCACUGCAGUUCACUAUGCCGGAAAGCCGAUGGAGAUCUGGAGGGAGAGACUGUGUCUUGUCUGGAGGGUCCUCUGAAUCUCCUGUGUACCCUAAGGAAUCCGACUUUGGCAGAGGAGAUCCAGGAACAGCAGGAAGAGAGAGCUGAUAACAAAUAACUUCUUAUUUCCACCAUAGCAAAUAUGAACUGCUUUGCCUGGCUUCCAAGCACUCCACCCACCGUACCACCUCCCCUGACCUCAUUUCCUAUGGGGUAGAAUGGAAGGAGAAUGGCCCAGAAGCCAAGACAGCCCUCGAUUUGAAUUUUGGCCUCAGCACUCAUUAGCUGUGUGAGUUUAGCUUCGAGUCCAUAAAACGGUGGUAAUAGUAACCCCCUUAUCCUUGAGUUGCAGUGAGGUCCGAUGAGGUUAUAUUUGUGAAGCACUUAGCGUAGUGCCUGGCACAUCAUAGGCCCUAAAUAAAUGUCGGCCUUUGUCAUGA